GAUGAACGCUGGCGGCGUGCCUAAUACAUGCAAGUCGAGCGAACGGACGAGAAGCUUGCUUCUCUGAUGUUAGCGGCGGACGGGUGAGUAACACGUGGAUAACCUACCUAUAAGACUGGGAUAACUUCGGGAAACCGGAGCUAAUACCGGAUGAUAUUUUGAACCGCAUGGUUCAAAAGUGAAAGACGGUCUUGCUGUCACUUAUAGAUGGAUCCGCGCUGCAUUAGCUAGUUGGUAAGGUAAUGGCUUACCAAGGCAACGAUGCAUAGCCGACCUGAGAGGGACGUCGCCCACACUGGAACUGAGACUCGGUCCCGACUCCUACGGGAGGCAGCAGUAGAGAAUCUUCCGCGAUGGACGAGAGCCUAACGGAGCAACGCCGCGUGAGUGAUGAACGUCUUCGGAUCGUAGAGCUCUGUUAUUAGGAAAGAUCAUAUGUGUAAGUAACUGUGCACAUCUUGACGGUACCUAAUCAGAAAGCCACGGCUAACUACGUG
rnacentral:rRNA from 1 species